rnacentral:misc_RNA from 1 species
GCGAAGGGAGGGAAGGGGACUGGGAGUGCGGCGGUUGCCGGAAUCGCAACUACGCCUUCCGUUCCCUCUGCAACCUCUGCAAACAGCCCCGUCUCCUCGUCGACACAAAGACCCCGGCAGACUCCAAGUGGCUCCCACGCAUCGGCGACUGGAUCUGCACUGGUUGCAGUAACAACAAUUAUGCCUCCAGAGAAAUAUGCAAGAAAUGUGGCCAGCCAAAGGAGAAAGCAGCGA